UCCCUGGUGGCUCAGAGGUUAAAGCGUCUGCCUUCAAUGUGGGAGACCUGGGUUCGAUCCCUGGGUUGGGAA
rfam:TPA: Bos taurus chromosome 22, whole genome shotgun sequence.